GGAAAUAUUUAUAGGUACCACAUCACCUUUUCAAGAGGACCUUUUUUGCUUACAUCAUCAUCAUCAUCAUCAACACCGUUGUCCUUCAGCUUGUAGUGCGACUCCUCACACAUCGAGAAUCCAUUCACUUUUCACACGUUUUCAUGUACAAUAUGAAAUCAUAAUGACAUUCAUGUAUUUUUGACAUAGUAUAAACUCAUU
rnacentral:lncRNA from 1 species